GAGCCCGGGAGGUAGAGGUUGCAGUGAGUUGAGAUCAUGCCACUGCACUCUAGCCUGGCCAACAGAGCGAGACUGUCUCAGGGGAAAAGAAAAAAAAAAAGAAACUUAAUGGUCUAAAAUGGAGCAGGGAUGGUCUGGUUCAUCGUGUUCUAUUAUGAAAAUAAAACGACCCUAAAACUUUCUAAGUGGCAGAUCUCCCUGUCACAGCAGACCACAGCUAAAUGAACUUCUCU
rnacentral:lncRNA from 10 species